rnacentral:rRNA from 1 species
AUUGAACGCUGGCGGCAUGCUUUACACAUGCAAGUCGAACGGCAGCACGGACUUCGGUCUGGUGGCGAGUGGCGAACGGGUGAGUAAUACAUCGGAACGUACCGCGUAGUGGGGGACAACAAGUCGAAAGAUUUGCUGAUACCGCAUACACUCUGAGGAGAAAAGCAGGGGACCUUCGGGCCUUGUGCUAUGCGAGCGGCCGAUGGCUGAUUAGCUAGUUGGUGGGGUAAAGGCCUACCAAGGCAACGAUCAGUAGCGGGUCUUAGAGGACGAUCCGCCACACUGGAACUGAGACGCGGUCCAGACUCCUACGGGAGGCAGCAGUGGGGAAUCUUGGACAAUGGGCGCAAGCCUGAUCCAGCAAUGCCGCGUGCGUGAAGAAGGCCUUCGGGUUGUAAAGCGCUUUUGUCAGGGAGCAAAGACUGAUGGCUAAUAUCCAUCGGAGUUGAGAGUACCUGAAGAAUAAGGACCGGCUAACUACGUGCCAGCCGCCGCGGUAAGAC